CACUGGUUUAUUAUACACAAGCACGACGUUUCGAUAAGUAUUCUCUUAUCGUUAUCGAAAUACUUAUCGAAACGUCGUGCUUGUGUAUAAUAAACCAGUGAUUGUUGUCCCAUAUAACUGUAUAGUUUUGUUAUGUUUCCAAUUGCUAAAUGCCACUAAAGGAUUAUAU